AAUCAUGUGUCGCGCCUCUCCUCCCCAAUCCCAUCUCUGCCGGUCGCCCUCCCUGGCCCAAUCCUCCCUCGCCUCGUCGUCGCCGCCGUCGGGCUGCCCGGCGGAAGUAGCGCCGCCUCGUCGUCGCCAUCGCCGGCGGCUGCCGGUGGAGGCAGCAGGUCGCCGCCUCCUCGCCGCUCCAAGCGGAAGCAGCGCUGCCUCAUCCUCCAAUCCUUGGUCUGUCCUCCUCUUCUCAAUCCUCACUCUCUUCCCAAGCGCGGCGUGCUGCCUCCACGAGCGCGAGCGUCCUGGUGGGUUGCCCCUGGCACUGCAUAGGAGCUCCAAUGGGGUCCUCGCUCCUUGUUUUCUCGCGGACGACCUCUACACCAGUACGUCACCAUGCCACCACGAGCCCCAUCGCUCCCUCCUCUCCAAGGAACAGCUGCAUAUAUUGGGAUUGCCAAAUAGAAGAGGUCACCUGGGAGUGGAUUCAGGAGAUGAAAGAUUCCAUGAUGACUCUGUUGGAGCAUACCAAUUGCAUGGACAAGUAUUGCAGCUGGUUAAUUUGUUGCUUGCCAAUUUUUAUUCCAUUAUCCAUGAAACUGUUCUGAUAUAUAAUAUAAUUAAGGUGUUCCAUCCACGGACACUCAACAAGCAGUAAGAUUGGAUGAUACUUAGUUUAACCAAAGAUUUCCAAGUCCUAAGGUGCUGGUUCCAGUUGUUGAAAGAGCCCAGCAGCUUCGUGGCGGCAGUGCGUCUUCUGCUCUUUCCGUAUGAUAUAUAGCUCUCAUGUGGUUUUGUAUUCUGUGUUUCUUACCUUUGCAAUGGUUAUCUUUGACAGAGACUGUAAAUUUCCUAAUGAUUUUCCUCUUAUUGUAGAUUUCCUCUAUAGUGUCCGUGUCUCAUGUUGUUUUCCUGAUGCUUGUAGGCCUUUGUCGAUAUGUAGAAUGAAGCAUAGAUUAUUUUGCACUUCAUUUCUGAAGUUUAUAAAAAAAGAGGAGAUUCCUACCUCUUAAUAAAGUUGUGUCCAAUGUCCUCCCUGUGUUGGCGAUGACCCAGGCAAUUAGCAUUCCAGGUGAUAAAGAAGCAUUUCCAUAGUGGAAUGUCUCGCUGCGGAGGAGCGGGGUCACUCUGAGCGUGAUCAUAAGAUUAUCCUCAGAAAUGAAGGAUCAAUUGCAGUUUCUAUUAUGCUAGAGUCAAAGUUCUCGAAUUUACUGUAGAGUAUGACUCAGACAACAAACCAUUCCAAGAGACAGUUAAACCUAUGGUAGAUGGUGGAACAGAAGGUUUCGAAGGUUAUGCUAGAGUCAUUAUGCCAAGGAUAACACCUUGUUUUGAGCGCAACAUAUGGAUUUUCUCUCCCUAUAUAAAGUUUCCAUUAUGUACCUUCGCCAAGACUUAGAGUACUGCUGCUCAUUGCAUUGAGUAUGCUCGUUUCAUCAAAUGGGACAAGAACAUAUGCAGUGGAUUUAUUCAGAGGUUUGUUCUACUGUUAUGACAUGUAAUUUAGCAAUAUGGUGUUCGGCAGGUGAAAAUUCCGCUGCCAGUGGCGGACGUUUCGGACGUUUCGUGAGUGUGGAUGGCAUUGCAGCUCGAAUACGAAACCUGACAUAUAGAAUUGUAGCCUUGUCAAGAUUAUCAAGUUUCUCUAGCAGUCUGAUGUACUCCAAUACUAGGCUUUUAUUUCUGCUGCUUUUUCAUUGGAACCUUUGAAGCUUGUUUUUGACUGCACCAGAAGUGUGUCAAAUUCGUUGCAUCAGGCCCCAUUCUUAGUUUGUUACUCAAAUAGUUGGUGCCACCAAAUAGUAAGAACGAAUGUUAUAUUUAACAAGUUAUUUAUGAAUAUUUUUAUUCUUACAUAUUAGCCAAAUCUAUUACCAUCUAAAUGCAAAAUAUAUGUAUGCCAAAAAUCCUGAGAUUUUCCAAGUGGACCAUGCAUAAAUGUGAUUUAGUCAGAAAGGCAUAGCACAACAUUUUUUCAGAAAAUGCCACACGAUUAGCAUUUCUUGAAUUGCUCUAGAGAUUUGGUUUGGUUAGUUAUUCUCUAUUCUCUAUUCUUGUGGCAGACAUAUAUUUUGCAUUUAGAUGGUAUGACUUGGCCAGUGAUCUCGGGUCAUAUUACAGUUUUUGCAUUGUUGAUAAACUCUUGUUCAGGAAAUCUUUUGUUCGAGCCAUUUAUUGCUUGAAUAUGUUAUAUAUUCAUGACUGGAGGAUGGACACUAAGUAAUUCAUAUUCUCUGCUAAACUUGGUUGGUCAUACUUAUGAAUUGGCUUCUGCUAAAAGUAGUGCACGUGGUCAUGCCAUCCUUAUCUUUAUACAUGCCAAGAAGUGGGCCUAAGCUCCAGGUGAGAUCACCGGUAGAUUCAGAUAUGACACCCUUUCCUUCAACUCUUUUUGAAACAUCCAUUGAAAAAUGAGGACUGAUGGAGACAUAUUUAAAUAAGUACUUCAUCACUCGUGUUUUAUUACGCCACUCAACAUUAAUGUGUCCCCGAUGUUUUUUAGCAAGUCCCUGUUGUAUGGAACUACCUGCCGAUUAUCAAGUCACUUUCCAUUCUUAUAUACAAAGCACCCAUUGUCACUGCAUCUAUAAAUAGCAGAACCAUUCCACUCUUAUAUGUAUCAUACUCAGUUUCUUCUGUAUUGUAUAACCUAUUGUUGCUAAUUUAGGUGCAACAAACGUUUUCUAUUUUUUUGAUCUUCAAUUUAUAUCACUCAGCUAAUGGACCUAAGAUCAUAUAGCAGCUUCAAGGUUGUCCAGACUGUUUGAAGUGCUCUGUUUUGAGAGGCCGGAAAUGCUCUUUAAUUCUUCUUAUUAAAUUUGAGUUUGCAUUUUGCAAAAAAAAAAAAAAAGACAGGUAAUGAGUGCUAGGGAUAAUGAACGGUUCUUCAUUACAAUUCAUCUUUUGUUAUUAGGCUCGAUUGUUUGUCACGAAAUGAUAGAUGUAAUAGGCAUGGUACUUCACUACCAUUAAAUUAUAGCUUACGUACCCUCUACAUGUCAUUGAUUUUUCGUUCAUGAUAUCUGCCUUGGGCUCUACUCUAAGAUCGCAUCUGCAAUGUUGAGCCACGACCGGAGGUGCGAUGGUGGGGUUCGCCGUGGUCGGUCGGUCCCCGGCAAGAUGUCAACACCGGCGAUUCUAGACGCCGAGGCCGCCAAGUGAAGUUGGCCGACUCACUUUUCGCCAAUUGACAUGGCAGCUCCCGCCAUUGGCAGCGGCGCGGUCUUCCCACAAGAAAGCUCCCUCUAUUUUCUCCAUCAGCUUCAGGAUUUUUUUGGGCGGUGCCAACACCAGAAAUUGGUGGAUUGGGAUCGCACCAAAUACAGACUUCACCAGAGCCAACCUCCCUGGUUUUGCAUCUAUCUUGAUUUCCGGGUGGGUAGUUUGCCUGCCAUUUUGACAGCAAGGGGCAGUAGUUGGGCAGCAGUUAUGUGAAACAAAAAUGAAUUCUAUGUCCAGUACGACUAUCUAGAAUAAAAUAACUGCUAUGAAUCCUCAGUUCAUAAAAAUAUUCAAAUUUAAUUUUACUUGAUCACGUUGACAGUUAGAAGCUUUGAACCAUGUUUUUUUGUGUGUAGUAUUUAGUUUAUACCAUCAGAGUAGCUGCUAAAACAGAAGUGGCUGUAAGAUACUUUGCAUUUCAUAUGGUUUUAGAUCAUUGCCUCACAUGGAGCUGAACCAUCUGUCAGCAAUGUCAUCGCCAAGGUCAGAGACGAAGCUGCCCUUUGGUUCGGAGUCGGCGCGUCGAGCUCGCGUG